rnacentral:rRNA from 1 species
UACGGGGGGUGCAAGCGUUGUCCGGAAUCAUUGGGCGUAAAGGGUGCGCAGGCGAUCCUGCAAGUCUGGAGUGAAACGUAUGAGCUCAACUCAUGCAUGGCUCUGGAAACUGGAGGACUGGAGAGCAGGAGAGGGCGGUGGAACUCCAUGUGUAGCGGUAAAAUGCGUAGAUAUAUGGAAGAACACCAGUGGCGAAGGCGGCCGCCUGGCCUGUUGCUGACGCUGAGGUUCGAAAGCGUGGGUAGCAAACAGG